rnacentral:rRNA from 1 species
AGUAGUAUAUGCUUGUCUCAAAGAUUAAGCCAUGCAUGUGUAAGUAUGAACUAAUUUCAGACUGUGAAACUGCCGAAUGGCUCACUUAAAUCAGUAGAGUUUGUUUCAGUUAUAGUUUGUUUGAUGGUAACUACUACUCGGAUAACCGUAGUAAUUCUAGAGCUAAUACGUGCAACAAACCCCGACUUCUGGAAGGGAUGCAUUUAUUAGAUAAAAGGUCGACGCGGGCUUCUGCCCGUCGCUCUGAUGAUUCAUGAUAACUCGACGGAUCGCACGGCCUUUGUGCUGCAAUCAUUUAAAUUUCAUUGCCCUAUAACUUCGAUGGAGGAAAUAGAGGCCUACCAUGGUUGGUGACGGUGACGGAGGAAUUUUUAGGGUUCAUUCCGGAGAGGGAGCCUGAAGAAACGCGUCUACCAAUCCAAGAAGGCCAGCAGGCGCGCAAAAUUACCCAAUCUCCUGACAACGGGAGGUUUAGUUUACAACUAAAUAACUAAUACCGGGAACUCUUCGGAGUCUGGUAAUUUUGAAGAGUACAAUUCCUAAAUCCCUUAACGCAGGAUCCAUUGAGGGCAAGUCUUUGGUUGCCAGCAAGCCGCUGUCGGUAAUUUCUCAGCUCCAAUAUAGCGUAUAUUUAAAGUUGUUGCAGUUAAAAAGCCGUAGUUGACCUUGGUUUGGGUUCGACCGGUCCGCCUCGCUGGUGUGCACCUGUCGCUCGUCGCCUUACUGCCGGCGUGCGGAUUGCGCUCCGGCCUUAACUGGCCGGGUCGUGCCUUCCGGCGCUGUUUACUAAUUAAAGAAAUAUAGCAGUGCUCAAAGCAAGCCUACGCUGCUGGAUAACAUUUUUAAAAAGGCAUUUUGGAGGAGAUAAAAAAUAACCCCCCAUCAUGGAUUUUCGGUCCUAUUGUGUUGGCCUUCGGGAAUUUCGGAGAAUAUUAAACAGGACAUCGGGGGCAUUUCGUAUUUCGAUUAGUCAGAGGUUGACAAUUCUUGGAUUUAUGAAAGCACGAAACACACUGCGAAAGGCAAUUUUGCCGAAGGAGUUUUCAUUAAUCAAGACACGAAAGUUGCGGGCUCGAAGGGACGAUCAGAUAUCCGUCCUAGUCUCAACAAUAAACGAUUGACCGACCAGGGAUCGGCGGUGUUGCUUUUUAUGCGACUCCGCCGGCACCUUAAUGAGAAAAUCAAAGUCUUUGGUUUCCGGGGGGAGUAUUGGAGUCGCAAGGCUGAACUUAAAGGGAAUGACGUGACGGAAGGGCACCACCAGGAGUGGAGCCUGCGGCUUAAUUUGACUCAACACGGGGAAACUUACCAGGUCCAGACAUAGUAAGGAUUGACAGACUGAGAGCUCUUUCUUGAUUCUAUGGGUGGUGGUGCAUGGCCGUUCUUAGUUGGUGGAGCGAUUUGUCUGGUUAAUUCCGUUCGAACGAGCAAACGAACGAGACCUCAGCCUGCUAACUAGCUAUGCGGAGGUGACCCUCCGCGGCCAGCUUCUUAGAGGGACUAUGGCCUUUUAGGCCAAGGAAGUUUGAGGCAAUAACAGGUCUGUGAUGCCCUUAGAUGUUCUGGGCCGCACGACACUGAUUUUCGAGUCUUAGCCUGCGCCGACAGGCCCGGGUAAGUCUUUGAAAUUUCAUCGUAAAUGGCGGAUAGAUCAUUUGCAAUUGUUGGUCUUCAACCGAGGAAUUCCUGUAAUGCAGCCGAGUCAUCAGCUGCCGUGAACUAGUCCCUGCCCCUUUGUACACACUCGCCCGUCGGCUCCUACGAUUUGAAUGGUCCGGUGAAGUGUACUCGGAAUCGCAGGCGACGUGGGCGGUUUUCGCCGCCGGCGACGUCGUCACGAGAAGUCACUGAACGCUUAUCAUUUAGUAAAGAAGAGACAG